rnacentral:rRNA from 1 species
UAAUACGUAGGUGGCAAGCGUUGUCCGGAAUUAUUGGGCGUAAAGCGCGCGCAGGCGGCUAUGUAAGUCUGGUGUUAAAGCCCGGGGCUCAACCUCGGUACGCAUCGGAAACUGUGUAGCUUGAGUGCAGAAGAGGAAAGCGGUAUUCCACGUGUAGCGGUGAAAUGCGUAGAUAUGUGGAGGAACACCAGUGGCGAAGGCGGCUUUCUGGUCUGUAACUGACGCUGAGGCGCGAAAGCGUGGGGAGCAAACAGGAUUAGAUACCCUGGUAGUCCACGCCGUAAACGAUGAGUGCUAGGUGUUGGGGGUUUCAAUACCCUCAGUGCCGCAGCUAACGCAAUAAGCACUCCGCCUGGGGAGUACGCUCGCAAGAGUGAA